GAUGAACGCUGGCGGCGUGCCUAAUACAUGCAAGUCGAGCGAACGGACGAUAAGCUUUCUUCUCUGAUGUUAGCGGCGGUCGGGUGAGUAACACGUGGAUAACCUUCCUCUAUUUCUGGGAUAACUUCGGGAAACCGGAUCUAAUACCGGAUCAUAUUUUGUACCGCAUGGUUCAAAAGUUAAAUACGGUCUUGCUGUCUCUUAUAGAUGGUUCCGCGCUGCAUUAGCUAGUUGUUAAGGUAACGCCUUACCAAGGCAACGAUGCUUAGCCGACCUGAUAGGGUGAUCGGCCACACGGGAACUGAGACACGGUCCAGACUCCUACGGGAGGAAGCAGUAGGGAAUAUUGCGCAAUGGGCGAAAGCAUGACGGAGCAAAGCCGCGUGAGUGAAGAAGGUCUUCGGAUCGUAAAACACUGUUAUUAGGGAAGAAAAGAAGUGGAAGUAACUGUGCACAUAUUGACGGUAACUAAACAGAAAGCCACGGCUAACUACGUG
rnacentral:rRNA from 1 species